UAGGGAAUCUUCGGCAAUGGACGAAAGUCUGACCGAGCAACGCCGCGUGAGUGAAGAAGGUUUUCGGAUCGUAAAACUCUGUUGUUAGAGAAGAACAAGGACGUUAGUAACUGAACGUCCCCUGACGGUAUCUAACCAGAAAGCAACGGCUAACUACGUGCCAGCAGCCGCGGUAAUACGUAGGUGGCAAGCGUUGUCCGGAUUUAUUGGGCGUAAAGCGAGCGCAGGCGGUUUCUUAAGUCUGAUGUGAAAGCCCCCGGCUCAACCGGGGAGGGUCAUUUGAAACUGGGAGACUUGAGUGCAGAAGAGGAGAGUGGAAUUCCAUGUGUAGCGGUGAAAUGCGUAGAUAUAUGGAGGAACACCAGUGGCGAAGGCGGCUCUCUGGUCUGUAACUGACGCUGAGGCUCGAAAGCGUGGGGAGCAAACAGG
rnacentral:rRNA from 1 species